rnacentral:rRNA from 1 species
UUGACCUCGGAUCAGGUAGGAAUACCCGCUGAAUU